rnacentral:rRNA from 1 species
GAGUUUGAUCUUGGCUCAGAACGAACGCUGGCGGCAGGCCUAACACAUGCAAGUCGAGCGCUCCGCAAGGAGAGCGGCGCACGGGAGAAUAACGCGUGGGAACCUACCUUUUGGUUCGGAAUAACACCGGGAAACUGGUGCUAAUACCGGAUAAGCCCUUCGGAGGAAAGAUUUAUUGCCGAAAGAUGGGCCCGCGUUGGAUUAGCUAGUUGGUGAGGUAACGGCUCACCAAGGCAACGAUCCAUAGCUGGUCUGAGAGGAUGAUCAGCCUCACUGGGACUGAGAUACGGCCCAGACUCCUACGGGAGGCAGCAGUGGGGAAUAUUGCGCAAUGGCCGAAAGGCUGACGCAGCGACGCCGCGUGUGGGAUGACGGCCUCGG